UACGUAGGGUCCGAGCGUUGUCCGGAAUUACUGGGCGUAAAGAGCUCGUAGGUGGUUUGUCACGUUGUUCGUGAAAACUCACAGCUUAACUGUGGGCGUGCGGGCGAUACGGGCAGACUAGAGUACUGCAGGGGAGACUGGAAUUCCUGGUGUAGCGGUGGAAUGCGCAGAUAUCAGGAGGAACACCGGUGGCGAAGGCGGGUCUCUGGGCAGUAACUGACGCUGAGGCGCGAAAGCGUGGGGAGCGAACAGG
rnacentral:rRNA from 1 species